rnacentral:lncRNA from 1 species
CAUGCUCAAAAUUCAUUGAUAGGUCCUUCUUUAAGUCAGAUAAAAGUGAGAAAAAGUUAGAGUUAAAUUGAAAUUCAAAAUGAUUUAAAUUACAACAAACUCCAGCCCUUAUCCUAUUUAAUUCCAUGUGUGUGAUAACCAUAAAAAGCCUUCUUUUUUGUGUGCCAAAACAUCUGAGGUUUUCACUGUGAGAUUGCUGUGGGAAAGAGGGGCUGAAUACCUUUUUGGGGCAUAAGGUUUGGGUGGGAUUCUAUCUUCUUUGGCAUGAACAAAAGAGG